rnacentral:rRNA from 1 species
GAUGAACGCUGGCGGCGUGCCUAAUACAUGCAAGUCGAGCGAACAGAUGAGGAGCUUGCUCCUCUGACGUUAGCGGCGGACGGGUUAGUAACACGUGGAUAACCUACCUAUAAGACUGGGAUAACUUCGGGAAACCGGAGCUAAUACCGGAUAAUAUAUUGAACCGCAUGGUUCAAUAGUGAAAGACGGUUUUGCUGUCACUUAUAGAUGGAUCCGCGCCGCAUUAGCUAGUUGGUAAGGUAACGGCUUACCAAGGCGACGAUGCGUAGCCGACCUGAGAGGGUGAUCGGCCACACUGGAACUGAGACACGGUCCAGACUCCUACGGGAGGCAGCAGUAGGGAAUCUUCCGCAAUGGGCGAAAGCUUGACGGAGCAACGCCGCGUGAGUGAUGAAGGUCUUCGGAUCGUAAAACUCUGUUAUAAGGGAAGAAAAAAUGUGUAAGUAACUAUGCACGUCUUGACGGUACCUAAUCAGAAAGCCACGGCUAACUACGUG